GAGUGUAAUUCUAGAGUAUAUGUGAGGCCUAGUAUUCUAAACCAAAAUAUUAAACAUCAAGAGUUAAAUAAUUAAAACUAUUAAUUUGUUGUAAUUUUUUACAGAAAAUAAAGUUAUCCAAAACACAAGGUUCAGACACCACUAGUAUCAAAUAUAAAAACUUAACUAUUACUACCUUCCACCAAAAUUCCAAAUCAAUCUCGAUUAGCUUGGUAUUUUGUGGCUCUGAAAGAAAAAUACAAAAAUAAUAAUAUGAGCUAAUAGCUCAGUAAAGAUUU
rnacentral:lncRNA from 1 species